rnacentral:rRNA from 1 species
UUCGGAAUAUUCGGCAAUGGACGAAAGUCUGACCGAGCGACGCCGCGUGCGGGAUGAAGGCCCUAUGGGUUGUAAACCGCUUUCGCGAUUAAGUAAAUCAUGUUAGAAUAAUAAUCUGAUAUGUUGAAUAAGGAUCGUAAAGAAGCCCCCGCUAAUCACGUGCCAGCAGCGGCGGUAAUACGUGAGGGGCGAACGUUGUUCGGUGUCACUGGGCUUAAAGGGUGCGUAGGUGGUUCUAUAAGUAAGGUGUGAAAUCCCUCGGCUUACCCGGGGAAUUGCAUUUUAUACUGUAGGACUUGAGGGCUAAAGGGGAAAAGGGAACUCCAGGUGUAGCGGUGAAAUGCGCAGAUAUCUGGGGGAAGGCCGGCGGCGAAGGCGCUUUUCUGGUUAGUACCUGACACUGAGGCACGAAAGCGUGGGGAGCAAACAGG